rnacentral:lncRNA from 1 species
CAGUCGCUCCCCCACCUCCCCAGGAGACCCCUGAGGGCUCUCCGUUCCCCCCCCACCCUUCUUCGCCCCCCCGCUGCCCCUCGAGCCCCACUCGGGCUUCAGGCCGUGCGUGCAGGCUGCGCUGCCACGGCGACAGCGCGCCCUCCCUCCUUGCGGCGCGGGAAGCCGUCCCCGCGGCGACAGCGCAUGCGCGCCGGCGUCUCCCUAGCAGCAGCGCCCCGGCGCGUCCUUUGCUCGAGCGACGCGCCGUUCCCGCUCCCCGCGGAGUGACGUCAUCACCUCGCGACCCGAGGACGCGGCCACGCGGAAGUGGAGCGGGGCCCCGCGCUGCUCCGGCGCCGCGGCGCAGCCCCGGGACUCCGAGCGCCGCCUCAGCUUCUACGAAAGGAUCUGCAGGAGAAGUCCUAGAGAGGUUUGGGUGCAUCCAGUGGGUUCAGGACUCAACCAGAAGAGUCUGGAGAUGUCCCAGGAGCACUGAGAAGUCCCUGGGCUGAUCUGAAGAUGGUCCCAGUCGAGUCUGGUACGGUCCAGAGAGUCCUCAUGAGGGUCUGACUGAUCCUGGAGUCAUCCAGAAGGUCUGGGGAUGUCCCAGAGAGGAUUUGCUGGGUCUGGGGGGUUCUCAUGUUGAUCCAUGGGGUCCGUGGAUUCAUCCAGAAGGGUCUGGAGAUGUCCCAGAAGGAUCCUGUAGGGUCCAGGGGGUCCCACGUGUGCCCAGG